rnacentral:misc_RNA from 1 species
GAUGAAGAACGUAGCGAAAUGCGAUAAGUAAUGUGAAUUGCAGAAUUCAGUGAAUCAUCGAAUCUUUGAACGCACAUUGCGCCCCCUGGCAUUCCGGGGGGCAUGCCUGUUCGAGCGUCAUUAUAACCCCUCAAGCUCAGCUUGGUGUUGGGGCCUGCCGACUGGCAGCCCUUAAAAUCAGUGGCGGCGCCAUCUGGCUCUAAGCGUAGUAAUUUCUCUCGCUAUAGAGUCCCGGUGGAUGCUUGCCAGCAACCCCCAACUUUCUAUGGUUGACCUCGGAUCAGGUAGGGAUACCCGCUGAACUUAAGCAUAUCAAUAAGCGGAGGA